UUGGAACGGUGGUCAUGCUAAUUUUCAUCUCUAUGACAAUUGUUGUUUUGCUGAACAUCCUCAUUGCUCAGCUUAGCGAUACGUACCAGAAAAUUCAGGCUGACGCUGAGAAGUCUGUAUUAGUAAACAGGGCUUGGACUAUCGCACGUUUGGAGAGAAAUACCUUAUGUUACCCACCCAAGUGUCAAUGUGGUCUAUGUUGUCUUAACGAGUGUCUGAAAAGGAUUUUGCCGUCGUGUCUUGAAACUUGUCUUCAAGAAGAGGGGCAAAAAAAAUGCGAACAGUUUUUACCAAAUGCAGACUUGAAGCCACUACAGUUUAAUGAAACAGAAGAAAUCAGACGUUCGUUAGCGAGAAUAGAAAAUAAACAAGUUAAGACUGAUCUUAAAGUGCAGACACUUAAUUCAAGAGUUCGAAAGAUGCUGGAAUCAUCACAAGAGAAAUCCACUGCAUGAAUAAGGAAUAUGAACAUAAAUCUUAAGCCCUGGACGUUGCUCAUCAUAGUGAACCGGAUGUUGGCCAAGAUAACAUGAUAACCUUGAGUUAUAUUACAGAAGCUGUUGCUAGUAUGUUUCCUUAAAUUUAAUACUUUAGAGGAUACGGGAAAGAGAUAGCAAAUCCGGUUACUGAACACUGUGACGGACACGGAAUUCAAAUAAUGUGUAAAUUCGUAUGCUGCUAUAACAAAAUAUUUCUAAAACGAAAAACAGUCAUUUAACUUUAUUUUUCUAGCUGAAGUGCAGAUAGAAAUAUCUGACUCUAGGGUAACUUUGCGGUAACUCGACAGAGCCUCGUUAUCACCUACACAGUAACCAUCCGCAUCUUUAACCAGUGAAAGAUUCUUAUGUUAGAAAUCUGCUUUAAAUCGCCAAAACGUUUACAUAACCGUUCCUGAAAAGCUUGUGUGUAAGUUGCCUCCAUAUCUCAGUGGUUUGAUCUUCGGAGUUGAACAACGUUUAUCUUCUCUCGUCGCGAAUUCAAGCCCAGUCGGAUUCACUAUUUUUAAUUUACCUGUUUUUUUUUUCAGUUUUGGUUUCUGAUCACUUUUAACACAUUUCUUCUUAUUACUUGUUUCUUACACAAAUGUGUAUUUUGUGUAUAAUUUGAUAAGAAUAAGAAACAUUGUCAUCCAGUAUGUACCAUGACGGAAAUUCUGACAAUGACCGAUUUAUACAAAUCUAAAUGAUGUACUUUUCAUUUUUUAUAUGCUUUUACAUAAAUGGGUUGCAGAUAGUCUAUACAAUGUAUAAUAUUUGUUUUCUAAUCUACUUGAUUUAUUAAACC